GCCAGUGUGGCAUAGUGGUUUGAACAUUAGAGUAAAACUCUGGAAAUCAGGGUUCAAAUCCCUGCUCAGCCA